rnacentral:rRNA from 1 species
ANCCGGAUUAGAUACCCUGGUAGUCCAUGCCGUAAACGAUGAGUGCUAAGUGUUGGAGGGUUUCCGCCCUUCAGUGCUGCAGCUAACGCAUUAAGCACUCCGCCUGGGGAGUACGACCGCAAGGUUGAAACUCAAAGGAAUUGACGGGGGCCCGCACAAGCGGUGGAGCAUGUGGUUUAAUUCGAUGCUACGCGAAGAACCUUACCAGGUCUUGACAUCUUCUGCCAACCUAAGAGAUUAGGCGUUCCCUUCGGGGACAGAAUGACAGGUGGUGCAUGGUUGUCGUCAGCUCGUGUCGUGAGAUGUUGGGUUAAGUCCCGCAACGAGCGCAACCCUUAUUGUUAGUUGUCAGCAUUCAGUUGGGCACUCUAGCAAGACUGCCGGUGACAAACCGGAGGAAGGUGGGGAUGACGUCAAAUCAUCAUGCCCCUUAUGACCUGGGCUACACACGUGCUACAAUGGACGGUACAACGAGUCGCGAAACCGCGAGGUCAAGCUAAUCUCUUAAAGCCGUUCUCAGUUCGGAUUGUAGGCUGCAACUCGCCUACAUGAAGUUGGAAUCGCUAGUAAUCGUGGAUCAGCAUGCCACGGUGAAUACGUUCCCGGGCCUUGUACACACCGCCCGUCACACCAUGAGAGUUUGUAACACCCAAAGCCGGUGAGGUAACCUUCGGGGACCAGCCGUCUAAGGUGAGACAGAUGAUUAGGGUGAAGUCGUAACAAGGUAACC